rnacentral:rRNA from 1 species
UACGUAGGGUGCAAGCGUUGUCCGGAAUUAUUGGGCGUAAAGAGCUCGUAGGCGGUUCGUCGCGUCGGCUGUGAAAACCCGAAGCUCAACUCCGGGCCUGCAGUCGAUACGGGCGGACUGGAGUUCGGCAGGGGAGACUGGAAUUCCUGGUGUAGCGGUGAAAUGCGCAGAUAUCAGGAGGAACACCGGUGGCGAAGGCGGGUCUCUGGGCCGAUACUGACGCUGAGGAGCGAAAGCGUGGGGAGCGAACAGG